CACAAAUUAUAUAUAUAUAUAUGGAACCCAUUAAGUCUAACUGUCUCCCAAAUCAUCCUCCACCAUAGGAUCUUGAUGAGAUUAAAUCAUGGCCAUUUAAACUAAUUUUUUAACUUCUAUGAUGGCAGUUCUCAGCGGUUAUUGGAUGGUUUCUUGGCCAUCCCCACUCUCCCGUGAUUCCAGGGUAUCAUCACAUCAGUUACUCCUCACCCAUAAAACCCCCUCUAUGUUCGAUCGCCAUUCCAAGUUCAGAUAAAUCCUCGAUUCCAUCAGCCACUGAUUGUGUCCUCUGUUUCCGUUUGAGUCUAGCUCCACCGUUGUAGCACCACCGUCUGCCACCGUCUGCCUAGCAAUGGCCGGAGCCGAAGGAGAGAUUCCGCUGUACGUUAACAAGACUGGCGCGUACGAACGGUUUUACAAAACGGUGGAAGUCAUUUUCUUCUCCAAUGGCUAAUCAGGUCGCUGCUUCCUCAUAUAUCCGAUCGAAGAAGAAAGAUGUCUCCAUCGAUUCUGGGAAAUUGUUCUUGGCUGGGAAAUUUAUGAAUUGUGAAGUUUAGGUUCUUGAACGAUUCAUGCAGGCGAGCCCAUGCCAUCUUUUGGAACAUGCUUGUGUAAUUAUUCAUACACAAUAACAAAAUUAGUUCUUACCCAACUUGUAGUUUGUUGUUUUUGUUACAAUUUUAUAAAAGUGUCCAAAGAAGAACAUGUACAUAAGAGUUUUGAUAGUUUUUUGUUUAUUAUCUUGUACCGUAAUUUAUGGUGAUUUUUUAGCUAUUCAGCUGCAGUAGGUUUGAGUAUUAUGCAAUAAUGUAUGUUUAGCUCUUUAAGUGGUUUUAGAGAAUUAUAGCAAAUGCUAUGUCAGUUGAAGUUCUUUACUUUCAGCUAGAGCAUCCAUUAUACAACAAUUAUAUCUAACUUCAUUAACGGUGUAUUUGAUAAACUGAUGGAAGAACCAAAGAGAUAGGAAAUCAUGCUAAUCAAGUUGACGAGAUGCAGACUAAGAAUAUUGAUGAAUUUAAGACGGCAUUUGAGUUGCCGCCUCUCCAUUGGUCUUGGAUGGGGUUGAUUUCAAGCUGAUAUCAGUCAAAAUGGCAAUGAACUAAAGGUGCAGCUUCUAUUUACAUCCAUGUGAAGGUUCGGCUGCACAGAUCUUGACACAAGGGAAGCUGAGUGCACCUCGUAUUUUAAGAAUACACAAGGUAUUGUAUUGUAAGAAUCACCUCAAUUUGUGUCAUUACGAUCCUGUAUAAUACUUAAUUCCCUUAAAGCCCAUCAAACAUCUUUAUAAUUAUCAUCAAUGUAGACUAUUAAGAGAUCUUAAGUUGUUUAGACUACAAAGAAAUAGUGAUGCAUUAGUCUUGACAACAAACAUACUCCUAUUGCAAUAAUACUCAGAAUCUUUGAAUAAAAGUGGUUUAGGAGGGUGUAUGCAUUUAAUAUACACUUUGGGUGAUCUUCAACCCCUUUUCGUUGGCCGUUAAAAAAAAGAACAACGCAGUCAAAUCCGUGAGCAUCUAAUUAUUGUAGCUUGCAGCGUAUGUUAAUUUUUCUAUCACGUUUAAUAUUGUAGCUUGCAACGUAUGUUAAUUUUUCCAUCACGUUCAAUAUUGUAGCUUGUAGCGUAUGUUAAUUUUUCCAUCACGUUUAAAAGUUUUUAAUUUAUUGUUGGGUGAAUUAGUGACAAUAGUUGUUUCAAUAUUUUAUCUUUUAUUUAAUUAAGUGAAAAUCAUAAAACGGCUAUAUACCAAGUUAUAUGGAGAAAAUGCUCCAAGGGUUAGAAUGGACGUGUGCCCUCUAGCUUACGCAAAGUGCACAAAAGGUAAGACUUUUUUUACGUUUUUUUGUAUAUGCAUAAAAACUGUCUUUUGGUACAUGUCAAAACAUGUUUGGCUGAAUUAACCCAUAAUACUUCUUUGAUAUACAAUAAUAAACUGAAUAUAAGAACAUAAUGAUCUAAGGGGUUUUUAGUAUUAUUUAUUAAACAGACUUUAGCCAACUUUCAAGCAUCAGCCCUUUAAAUUGUCCGGUUGGGAUAUACACAACUCAAAUUGACCCAUUCAUAAGUAAAUGGGCCAAAACUGUUUUGAGCUAGAUUGUUUUUUGUUUGCUCCCGUGGAACAGAUAAAAAGUUAGUUCUCGGUUUCCUUAAUAUAUCUUAUGAAAGGAAAUUAAUAAUUUCGAAAUUUUGAUUGCGAUUUUAAUAACAAAAGAUGCAGAUUCAGCCAUCCAAUUGUACAAAAAUGCCCUUCAGGUGCUCGAGCAUUCAAAAAGUAUGAAUUUAGAUGACUUGGAGAAGACACGGAUAGGCCUGGCAGAGUUGCUUCAUGUUGUAGGAGCUUGCUCUGUAACUCUUUACAACAUGAAUCAUGAUGAAGAAGCUGAACUGGCUCUUAAAGCCUUGCGGGUUGGAUAGUCGAGAUGGCGUACCAAGGAGGAGGUAACCUGAAGGAGGAAUGAAGAUGUAUAUGGUGGCGGGACCGCUCGCUGGCCACUUGGCUACCACCAAAUAAGCUUAGACCUCUUCGCAAAGGCAAAAAGGUGUCCCCCAAGGGAUGGACUGGAUGAGCAUAUUCAUAUACACAUGGUAAUUUUUCUUUUGAAUCAAUGUCAUCCUUUGAAGUACAAGCUAAAGAUGGCAAGGUGGGUGGGUUAGAUAAGUUGCAUAAAGAGUUAAAUGUGUUCGGGUGUUGACCUAACAUAGGUUGAUCCGUUAACCCUCUUUUGUUUUAGUUCUAUCAUUAUUAAUGUGGAAAAACAAUACCAUUACAAACAAUAAUAUAAACCAUGGAUACCAAGAUUUGGGUGAUUUUAA